rnacentral:rRNA from 1 species
AACGAACGCUGGCGGCAUGCCUAACACAUGCAAGUCGAACGAGACCUUCGGGUCUAGUGGCGCACGGGUGCGUAACACGUGGGAAUCUGCCCUUGGGUUCGGAAUAACACAGAGAAAUUUGUGCUAAUACCGGAUGAUGACGAAAGUCCAAAGAUUUAUCGCCCAAGGAUGAGCCCGCGUAGGAUUAGCUAGUUGGUGGGGUAAUGGCCCACCAAGGCGACGAUCCUUAGCUGGUCUGAGAGGAUGAUCAGCCACACUGGGACUGAGACACGGCCCAGACUCCUACGGGAGGCAGCAGUGGGGAAUAUUGGACAAUGGGCGAAAGCCUGAUCCAGCAAUGCCGCGUGAGUGAUGAAGGCCUUAGGGUUGUAAAGCUCUUUUACCAGGGAUGAUAAUGACAGUACCUGGAGAAUAAGCUCCGGCUAACUCCGUGCCAGCCGCCGCCGUAAUAC